ensembl:snoRNA
CUGCGUGCUAUAAUGGGCUAAAUAGUCCAUGAAUGACCCUUUGCCUUACAUGAUGGGAAUGGGUACAUAAUUGCAUGCUAUAGAAACCUGGAGUUAACAGGGCCACCAGUCUUUCAAGAACAGGCUGUGUUGGUAGUAUAAAACUCCUACAUUU